UUUUAUAUAGAAAAUUAUGAAAUUUUAUUUAUAAAUAUUAUAAAAGAUUAUAUAAUUUAUAUAUUUUAUUGGGGUGAUAAAAAAAUAAAAAAAACUUUUUUUAAUUAAUUACAUAAAUAAGUGAAUUAUUGAUCCAAUAUUAAUGAUUAUAAGAAAAA
rnacentral:rRNA from 1 species